UUGGAAUUGCUAGUAAUCGCGAAUCAGAAUGUCGCGGUGAAUACGUUCCCGGGCCUUGUACACACCGCCCGUCACACCACUGAGAGUCGAUAACACCCGAAGCCUGUGAGCUAACCGUAAGGAGGCAGCAGUCGAAGGUGGGGUUGAUGAUUGGGGUGAAGUCGUAACAAGGUAAC
rnacentral:rRNA from 1 species